rnacentral:rRNA from 4 species
AAAUUGAAGAGUUUGAUCAUGGCUCAGAUUGAACGCUGGCGGCAGGCCUAACACAUGCAAGUCGAACGGUAACAGGAAGCAGCUUGCUGCUUCGCUGACGAGUGGCGGACGGGUGAGUAAUGUCUGGGAAACUGCCUGAUGGAGGGGGAUAACUACUGGAAACGGUGGCUAAUACCGCAUAACGUCGCAAGACCAAAGAGGGGGACCUUCGGGCCUCUUGCCAUCAGAUGUGCCCAGAUGGGAUUAGCUUGUUGGUGGGGUAACGGC